rfam:Ovis aries breed Texel chromosome 8, whole genome shotgun sequence.
UCGCUGGUGGCUCAGAGGUUAAAGUGUCUGCCUGUGAUGCAGGAGACCUGGGUUUGAUUCCUGGGUUGGGAA